GAGGACAGCGCAGCCCACAAGGAUAAGGGUACAUCUGGUUGGUGUCUUGAUCACUACAAAUGCUAGUGACCAAGACAGAUGAUCUGCAGAUGACUUGUCUCCCCCACCCAGGGACCAGAUGCUGUGGGAGCCAGUGCCACUGAUCUCAGCCAAGAGGCUAAGAAGUGAUGAGCGCACACACACGAGCCAUCAGGACGCAGAAGGAAGACUGCUACUUAACCUCAGAAUCCACUUCGGACUGCUAUGUGUCUUGAAAAUUUCAGCAAUUGAUGCAAGGAUAUUUCCUGAGGUCAUGGAAACUGGAAAAGCCAGUGGAAACCAGGCAGACACAGUUCAUAAGGAGAAUACAGUGGAUCUCUCAAACAACCCCAGACAUCCCCCUACCACGAUGUCAAGGCAAAGGAGUCCACUGAAUUGUACUUUUUAUUCACCAGAUGGUCAGGCUACAGGGACACAGCCAUUCUGUCCCUCUGCUCAGGACAACUGUGAAAAGCUCCUCUCUGGGAGACUGGCAACAUUAGAAAGAUUAUAAACGUGGCCACUGAGACUGUAGCUCAGUACUGGCCCAUUACUGGAGAAGACCAGCCCCACUGUUGCAUUUUAAACACUGCAUAUCCUUCAACCCUCUAAACCUUUCAGUGCCUAGCCUACACAUGUGUGCACACCUGCACACUUACAAAAUGCACUCACACCC
ensembl:processed_transcript Gm27252 predicted gene 27252